CUAUAGAAUACAAAUUUGCAGAUCUCUGCUCCAUGACCGAAGCUUUGAUGCAAACAGCACACAGAGCUGUUCAACAGUGGAACAGACUCCCUCCGAAGGUGACCAUGUGUCAUGGUCUAAGAGCCUGAGAUCCUGGUUGAUCUCUUGGAUGGUGAACAGGAAAGACAACAUGUACCAGUAGAACCUAAUUGCCCUCCUGCAAUAAAUGAAUUAUUUAAAAGAGUGAAACUGAUAUUCAUAUUAAUGGGAGGGAGGAAACAUUAUAUGAUCCACAAAGAUUAAUAUUUAUUUAUCAUUUUACAUUAAUAUCAAACCUUUUCCUGUCUAGCAUAGAACAAAAAUUUGGAAAUCUCUGCUCCAUGACCGGAGCUUUGAUGCAAACAGCACACAGAGCUGUUCAGCAGUGGAACAGACUCCCUCCGAAGGUGACCAUGUGUCAUGGAUGCUUCAGGUGAGAUUCCUCCAGGUCCCUUCCAUCUCUACAACUCUAUGAUUCUUUACUACUGUGGUUCUAUGAGUAAGAAAUGAAGGCACCCCUCAAAAUGUGUGCUAUACUGGGAAGUUGCUUCAAAGCCUGCUUUUCCUGCAUUGGUCUUUGGCUUCUUCCAAGGGGCUAGACUAUAGGUAGAUAAGAGACAAUUUUAUUGAAGGAGGGGAAGCACCAAAUACCUCCGUCCCCUUUUAGUUACAAUUGAGGUCUCGUGGCUUUCAGGUUUGAGUGCGUGGUAAAACCUAUAAUUUUGCACAUGUUUUUCAUCAGUGACUCCACCAGUGAGGACACACCCUGAUCUGUGUUAUUCCAUAUAAUCAUUUUAUUUGAAGCAUAUCAUUCCUGCUCUUCACCCAUAGAAAUACAAGCAUUUUCAAGAGUUUCUUAAAACGCUUCUAAUUUUUUGAAAAAAACAGUGACAGAAAGGGAAAAGUGCUGGGAUUGGAGGAGGAAACCUUUAAUGUAGCUCAGACGGAUUUCCCCAUGGUGGGCUGUAGGCCUCCUGUUCCAUCGUGUUAAUAGAACUGUGAUAAGGUUGGGAUAGGAAACAGGUACCUAUGGAUUCCAAGUGAAGAAACAUCAAACAUCUCACUACUUAGAAAUGAGGCCAGUUGUUUGUGUGUGAGAAAAAGGAAUAAUUCCUUUUCACAUUUUAGAGACCUGACUCCAUGAAAAGGAAGUCUCCUGAUUCAUAUUAUUUAUCAUUUCAAUUAAAGCACAUCUUUCCUGCUCUUCAGCCACCAAACGUCACCCAGAGGAUCUUAAAAUUCCAUUUGUAAAACUGUAACAUGGAAUAAUAUUGAAUGAAACCUUUGAGCCUUGGAAAUUGCCUGAGUUUCAUGGCAUCCUGCAGGUGGGGAAAUUCAGUGCAUCCUUUUGACCCCUGACCAGAUUCAUUGGCAUCCUUGCAUUCUACUAAAAGCAACACAGAAAAGGUAGGAGAGUGUUUCACUAAGGAAGACCCAGAGAACAUGGAAAUAGGAGAGGUUUGUGUGGAAUCUUUUAGUAGACACCCCCAGCUCCCAUCACCCCCAGCCAGCAAGCCCAAUGGUUAAGGGCAGGGUAGUACAGCAACAUCAGCCCUUGGCUCCCCAGCCCUGAGAUAGGGGCUAUUUCCUUGAUAAAUAGGAACCACUAGAAGGACUGGAGGACCAUGAAACUGUGAAGUACAUACUUUUCAAUCCUGGCGAAGGGUGUCUGAGAAAAGACGUAUGGAGUUUCCUUAUAAAAGCGUUUUGGAGAGAUGAUCCCACUGAUGAGAAAGUGUCCCGGCCGGUAGUAAUUGCGAGCAUCCGUUUCAUCCCUGACCAGAUUCAAGGGGCAUUUCGCCUUGUGGUUCCCGCAGACUCCAAAGGGCAUCAUGAGCAGCAGAAGCAGCAACAGAAGGAGCAGGGAUCUCAUUCUGGCUCUGCCUCCUCCUCCUCCUCUUACCUGCCAAGGAGGCAAAGCAGAAGAACCCAAAGACUCUUGCAAGACCAGGCUGGGUGGGCUUUCC